CUUUGUCCUCUGGAGGCUCUUCCUGUCCUUUCAUGCUGGCAUCCAUGUCCUCAGCGUUGUCUGGCGUGGGCACGUCCCCUGAGCACAAGUCUGGAGAUGGGGGGCCAAGGAGCUAAGGAAAGUGGCGCCUCGAGAAACUGGAAAAGGAAACAGAUUCUCCCCUGGAGGCUCCAGAAGGAACACAGCCCUGCCAACACCUUGUGUUGAGCCCAGCAAGACCACAUCUCACUUCCGACCUCUAGAACUGUGAUCAGGUAAUAAAUUUGUGUUGUCUUAA